GACGAACGCUGGCGGCGUGCUUAACACAUGCAAGUCGAAUGGUGACGAGGAGCUUGCUCCUCUGAUCAGUGGCGAACGGGUGAGUAACACGUGAGCAACCUGCCCCAGACUCUGGGAUAACAGUUGGAAACAGCUGCUAAUACCGGAUACGAGACGGAGAGGCAUCUCUACCGUCUGGAAAGUUUUUCGGUCUGGGAUGGACUCGCGGCCUAUCAGCUAGUUGGUGAGGUAAUGGCUCACCAAGGCGACGACGGGUAGCCGGCCUGAGAGGGCGACCGGCCACACUGGGACUGAGACACGGCCCAGACUCCUACGGGAGGCAGCAGUGGGGAAUAUUGCACAAUGGGCGAAAGCCUGAUGCAGCGACGCCGCGUGAGGGAUGAAGGCCUCGGUUGUAAC
rnacentral:rRNA from 1 species